rnacentral:rRNA from 1 species
AUUGAACGCUGACGGCACGCUUAACACAUGCAAGUCGAGCGGCAGCAUGGUGUGUAGCAAUACACACUGAUGGCGAGCGGCGGACGGGUGAGGAAUACGUAGGAACCUGCCCUCAAGCGGGGGAUAACCAAGGGAAACUUUGGCUAAUACCGCAUAAUCUCGGAAGAGAAAAGCUACCCGCAAGGGCGGCACUUGAGGAGGGGCCUGCGUCCGAUUAGCUAGUUGGUAGGGUAAGAGCCUACCAAGGCGAUGAUCGGUAACUGGUCUGAGAGGACGACCAGUCACACUGGGACUGAGACACGGCCCAGACUCCUACGGGAGGC